rnacentral:rRNA from 1 species
GUCUACAGUCAUGCCACCCUUAACGUGCUCUAUCUCUUCUGAUCUCGGAAGCUAAGCAGGGUCGGGCUUGGUUAGUACUUGGAUGGGAGACCACCUAGGAAUACCAGGUGCUGUGGGUG